rnacentral:siRNA from 1 species
GACAACACUUACACCCAUUUUGUC